rnacentral:rRNA from 1 species
GCCAGACUCCUACGGGAGGCAGCAGUGGGGGAUAUUGCACAAUGGGGGAAACCCUGAUGCAGCGACGCCGCGUGAGUGAAGAAGUAUUUCGGUAUGUAAAGCUCUCUCAGCAGGGAAGAAAAUGACAGUACCUGACUAAGAAGCCCCGGCUAACUACGUGCCAGCAGCCGCGGUAAUACGUAGGGGGCAAGCGUUAUCCGGAUUUACUGGGUGUAAAGGGAGCGUAGACGGCUGCGCAAGUCAGAAGUGAAAGCCCGGGGCUCAACCGCGGGACUGCUUUUGAAACUGUAUAGCUAGAGUGUAGGAGAGGCAAGUGGAAUUCCUAGUGUAGCGGUGAAAUGCGUAGAUAUUAGGAGGAACACCGGUGGCGAAGGCGGCUUACUGGACUGUAACUGACGUUGAGGCUCGAAAGCGUGGGGAGCAAACAGGAUUAGAUACCCGUGUA